UGGACAGCAAAGAGAAUACACCGUACUUUCAACAUGCUGGGGACCAUCUCUACUAUUAUUGUUGCUCUAGCAUGUGUGGAUGCUGCAAAAGUGUUGACCCAGACACCACCUGUCCACACAGUUUCUCCAGGACAGGAGGUUCUGCUCAAAUGCAACAUUCAGAGACCUGAAGGCUAUUAUGUCAGCUGGUACAAACAGGUCCCUGGUUCUAAUCACAGUUCACCAGACUUUGGAACAGGAUUCUCCUCAGACCGAUUUAACUCUAAAGCCUCAUCAAACAUUGAUUAUCAGUUUAUCAUUAAGCGAGCAGAAGCAGGAGACUCUGCUGUGUAUUACUGUAGCACAUGGGAUAACUCUGCUCAGGAGAGCGUAUCACAGUGAUUUACACUGUGAC